rnacentral:tRNA from 1 species
GGAGAUGUGGCCCAGUGGUAGAGCUCUUGCCUUAUAUGCACAAGGCCCUGGGUUCAAUUCCCAGCACCACAA